UACGUAGGUGGCAAGCGUUGUCCGGAAUUAUUGGGCGUAAAGCGCACGCAGGUGGCUGAGUAAGUCGAUUGUGAAAGCCCUGGGCUUAACCUGGGAAUUGCAGUCGAUACUGCUCGGCUAGAGUAUGGGAGAGGGUAGUGGAAUUCCCGGUGUAGCGGUGAAAUGCGUAGAUAUCGGGAGGAACAUCAGUGGCGAAGGCGGCUACCUGGCCCAAUACUGACACUCAGGUGCGACAGCGUGGGGAGCAAACAGG
rnacentral:rRNA from 1 species